AGUUGUAUACCACCCUGAACGCUCCCGUUCUCGUCUGAUCUCAGAAGCUAACCAGGGUCGGGCCUGGUUAGUACUUGGAUAGGAGAAAAACAAGAGUUUAUAGCUU
rnacentral:rRNA from 1 species